CUAAGUAGAACCUAAGAUGGUGGUGGACCUCCAUCACAAUGUUCUUCACCCCCAAAAGUAGAACCUAAGAUGGUGGUGGACCUCCAUUUGGAUGUAUCUUCAUCCCUAAAAGUAGAACUUAAGAUGGUGGUGGACCUCCAUGGGGACGUUCUUCAUCCUAAAUUGGAGUUAUGGUGGUGAUGGAUCUCCAUGGGGUUGUAUUUUCAUCCUAAGAUGGAGUUAAGAUGGUGGUGGACCUCCAUUUGGAUGUAUUUUCGUCCUAAAUUGGAGGUAUGGUGGUGGUGGACCUCCAUCAGGAUGUUCUUCACCCCCAAAAGUAGAACCUAAGAUGGUGGUGGACCUCCAUUUGGAUGUAUUUUCAUCCUAAAUUGGAGAUAUGAUGGUGGUGGACCUCCAUCGGGGUGUUCUUCACCCCCAAAAGUAGAACCUAAGAUGGUGGUGGACCUCCAUUUGGAUGUAUUUUCAUCCUAAAUUGGAGAUAUGAUGGUGGUGGACCUCCAUCGGGGUGUUCUUCACCCAAAGUGGGACCUAUGAUGGUGAUGGUGGACCUCCAUGGGGACGUUCCUCACCCCAAUUAGAACCUAAAUAGGUGGUAGACCUCCAUGAGGACGUUCUUCACCCCAAAUUGGAGUUAUGUUCCUCACCCCAAGUAGAACCUAAGAUGGUGGUGGACCUCCAUGGGGACGUUCCUCACCCCAAGUAGAACCUAAAUAGGUGGUGGACCUCCAUGGGGACGUUCCUCACCCCAAGUAGACCCUACCUUUCUGGUAGUCCUCCAUGAGGACGUUCCUCACCCCAAAUUGGACUUAUGAUGCUGGUGGCCCUCCAUGGGGACGUUCCUCACCCCAAUUAGAACCUAAAUAGGUGGUGGCCCUCCAUGGGGACGUUCCUCGCCCCAAGUAGACCCCGAGCUGUUGGUGUCCCUCCGUGACGGUGUCCCGGGUCUUCUCCUGGCAGUGGAUCUGCUGCGACAUCCGCUACCUGGACGUCAGCAUCCUGGGCAAGUUCGCGGUGGUGAUGGCCGACCCGCCCUGGGACAUCCACAUGGAGCUGCCCUACGGCACGCUGACCGACGACGAGAUGCGGCGCCUCAACAUCCCCGUCCUGCAGGACGAGGGCUUCCUCUUCCUCUGGGUCACCGGGAGGUGAGUGGGGGGACACCUCCAGGUCCUCUGUGGGUGGAGGUCCUCUUGGAGGUCCUCCUUGGGUGGAGCUCUUGGAGGUUCUCCUUGGUGGAACUCUUGGAAAUCCUCUUUGGUUGGACCUCUUGGAGGUUCUCCUGGAGGUUCUUUUGGAGGUCUUCCUUGGUUGGGAUCUCUUGGAGGUUCUCUUGGAGAUCCUCUUUGGUUGGAUCUCUUGGAGGUUCUCUUGGAGGUCUUCCUUGGGUGGAACUCUUGGAGGUCAUCUUGGAGGUCCUCCUUGGGUGGAGCUCCUGGAGAUCCUCGUUGGUUGGGCCUCUUGGAGGUUCUCCUGGUUUGGACCUUCUGGAGGUUCUCUUGGAGAUCCUCUUUGAUUGGAUCUCUUGGAGGUUCUCCUUGGUUGAACCUCUUGGAGGUUCUUUUGGAGGUCUUCCUUGGUUGGAUCUCUUGGAGGUCCUCCUGGAUUGGACCUUCUGGAGGUCAUCUUGGAGGUCUUCCUUGGUUGGACCUCUUGGAGGUUCUCUUAGAGGUUUUUGGUUGGCCUCCAGGAGGGUCUCCUAGAGGUUCUCCUUGGUUGGAUCUCUUGGAGGUUCUCCUGGAUUGGAUCUCUUGGAGGUUCUCUUGGAGAUCCUCUUUGGUUGGAUCUCUUGGAGGUCUCCUUGGUUGAACCUCUUGGAGGUUCUUUUGGAGGUCUUCCUUGGGUGGAACUCUUGGAGAUCCUCCUUGAUUGAACCUCCUGAAGGUUCUCCUAGAGGUUCUCCUUGGUUGGAUCUCUUGGAGGUCCUCUUGGAGAUCCUCUUUGGUUGGACCUCUUGGAUUGGACCUCUUGGAGGUUCUCUUGGAGGUCCUCUUUGGUUGGUUCUCUUGGAGAUCCUCCUAAUUUGGGCCUCCAGGAAGUCCUCUUGAAGGUCAACCUGGAUUGGACCUCUUUGAGGUUCUUUUGGAGGUUCUCCUUGGUUGAACCUCUUGGAGGUCAUCUUGGAGGUCUUCCUUGGUUGAACCUCUUGGAGAUCCUCUUUGGUUGGAUCUCUUGGAGGUCAUCUUGGAGGUCCUCCUUGAUUGGCCUCCUAAUUUGGGCCUCCAGGAGGUUCUUUUGGAGAUCCUCCUGGAUUGGACCUCUUGGAGAUCAUCUUGGAGGUCUCCCUUGGUUGGCCUCCAGGAGGUUCUCUUGAAGGUCAACCUGGAUUGGACCUCCUGGAGGUCCUCCUGGAGACCCUUUUUAAUUAACCUCCCUAAUUGGACCUCCAGGAGCUCCUUUUUUAAUUAACCUCCCUAAUUGGACCUCCUGGAGGUCCUCCUGGUGGACCUCCAUGGUUGACCUCCUGGAGGUCCUCCAGGAGCUCCUUUUUAAUUAACCUCCCUAAUUAGACCUCCAGGAGCUCCUUUUUUAAUUAACCUCCUUAGUUAGACCUCCAGGAGCUCCUUUUUAAUUAACCUCCUUAAUUGGACCUCCUGGAGGUCCUCCUGGUGGACCUCCAUGGUUGUCCUACUGGAGGUCCUCCUGGAGUUCCUCUUUAAUUAACCUCCUUAAUUAGACCUCCAGGAGCUCCUUUUUUAAUUA
rnacentral:lncRNA from 1 species